rnacentral:ncRNA from 2 species
UACUUCUUGUCGGAGUGCCCAGUGCGCAAGCACGGGCUGAGACCGUUAAUUCGGGAUCCGCGGAACCUGAUCAGGUUAAGACCUGCGAAGGGAACAAGAGUCAAUCUAUA